rnacentral:rRNA from 1 species
UACAGAGGGUGCGAGCGUUGUUCGGAAUUACUGGGCGUAAAGCGCGCGCAGGCGGCUCUUUAAGUCUGACGGUGAAAUGCCGGGGCUCAACCCCGAGCGUGCCGGAGAUACUGGAGGGCUGGAGACGAGUAGAGGCAAGCGGAAUUCCGGGUGUAGCGGUGGAAUGCGUAGAGAUCCGGAAGAACACCGGAGGCGAAGGCGGCUUGCUGGGCUCGGUCUGACGCUGAGGCGCGAAAGCGUGGGGAGCGAACAGG